GCGCCCCGGCGUCCGGCUCCCAAGCAGCAUGCCCGCCCACGCCCCGCCGCGCCGCCCGCGUCUGCGGACGCCACCGCUGCUGCUGCUGCUGCUGGCCCUGGGCGGCCGCCGCCUGCGCGCCGAGCCCGGCGACGGCGCGCAGACCUGGGCCCGCUUCGCGCGCCCUCCGGCCCCGGGUGCCGCGGGGCUCUUCCACGACACCUUCCCCGACGGCUUCCACUGGGCCGUGGGCAGCGCCGCCUACCAGACGGAGGGCGGCUGGCGGCAGCACGGCAAGGGUGCGUCCAUCUGGGACACGUUCACCCACCACCCUCCGGCGCCUCCAGGCGACCCCCCGGUAGCCGGCCUGCCGUCGGGCGCCCCGUCGCUGUCCCCGCCCGCCACCGGGGACGUGGCCAGCGACGGCUACAACAAUGUCUUCCGCGACACGGAGGGGCUGCGCGAGCUCGGGGUCACCCACUACCGCUUCUCCAUCUCGUGGGCGCGGGUGUUCCCCAAUGGCAGCGCCGGCGCCCCCAACCGGGAGGGGCUGCGCUACUACCGGCGUCUGCUGGAGCGGCUGCGGGAGCUGGGCGUGCAGCCCGUGGUCACCCUGUACCACUGGGACCUGCCCCAGCGCCUGCAGGACGCCUAUGGCGGCUGGGCCAACCGCGCCCUAGCGGACCACUUCAGGGAUUACGCCGAGCUCUGCUUCCGCCACUUCGGCGGCCAGGUCAAGUACUGGAUCACCAUCGACAACCCCUACGUGGUGGCCUGGCACGGCUACGCCACCGGGCGCCUGGCCCCAGGCGUCCAGGGCAGCCCGCGGCUCGGGUACCUGGUGGCGCACAACCUCCUUCUGGCUCAUGCCAAAAUCUGGCAUCUCUACAAUACUUCUUUCCGCCCCACUCAGGGAGGCCAGGUGUCCAUUGCCCUGAGCUCCCACUGGAUCAGUCCUCGAAGAAUGACUGAACAUAGCAUCAAAGAAUGUCAGAAAUCUCUUGACUUUGUCCUAGGCUGGUUUGCCAAACCCAUAUUUAUUGAUGGGGACUAUCCUGAGAGCAUGAAGAAUAACCUUUCAUCUCUUCUGCCUGAUUUUACUGAAUCUGAGAAAAAGUUCAUCAAGGGAACAGCCGACUUUUUUGCUCUUUCCUUUGGACCAACCUUGAGUUUUCAACUGUUGGACCCUCAGAUGAAGUUCCGUCAGUUGGAAUCUCCCAGCCUGAGGCAACUCCUUUCCUGGAUUGACCUUGAGUAUAACCACCCUCAAAUAUUUAUUGUGGAAAAUGGCUGGUUUGUUUCAGGGACCACCAAGAGAGAUGAUGCCAAAUAUAUGUAUUACCUCAAAAAAUUCAUAAUGGAAACCUUAAAAGCCAUCAGGCUGGACGGGGUGGAUGUCAUUGGGUACACAGCGUGGUCCCUCAUGGAUGGCUUCGAGUGGCACAGAGGCUACAGCAUCAGACGUGGACUCUUCUACGUCGACUUUCUAAGCCAGGAUAAGAAGUUGUUGCCGAAGUCUUCAGCCUUGUUCUACCAGAAGCUGAUAGAGAAAAAUGGCUUCCCUCCUUUACCUGAAAAUCAACCCCUAGAAGGGACAUUUCCCUGUGACUUUGCUUGGGGAAUUGUUGACAACUACAUUCAAGUGGACACCACUCUGUCUCAGUUUACCGACCCCAGCGUUUACCUGUGGGAUGUCCACCACAGUAAAAGGCUUAUUAAGGUGGACGGGGUUGUGACCAAGAAGAGGAAAUCCUAUUGCGUUGACUUCGCCGCUAUCCGGCCCCAGAUCGCCUUACUCCAGGAAAUGCAUGUGUCGCAUUUCCACUUCUCCCUGGACUGGGCGCUGAUCCUGCCGCUGGGGAACCAGUCCCAGGUCAACCGCACGGUCCUGCGCUACUAUCGCUGCGUGGCCAGCGAGCUCGUGCGCGCCAACAUCACCCCGGUGGUGGCCCUGUGGCGCCCCGCCGCCCCGCACCAGGGGCUGCCGCCACCCCUGGCCCGGCACGGCGCCUGGGAGAACCCUCACACCGCCCUGGCUUUUGCGGAGUACGCCAGCCUGUGCUUUCGAGACCUCGGCCACCACGUCAAGUUCUGGAUCACAAUGAACGAGCCGUCCACGCGGAACAUGACGUAUAGCGCGGGGCACCACCUCCUGAAGGCCCACGCGUUGGCCUGGCGCGUGUACGAUGAGAAGUUUAGGCGCUCUCAGAAGGGUAAAAUAUCCAUCGCCCUGCAGGCGGAUUGGAUAGAACCAGCCUGCCCUCUCUCUCCAAAAGACCAAGAAGUGGCCGAGCGAGUUUUGCAAUUUGACAUUGGCUGGCUGGCCGAGCCCAUUUUCGGCUCCGGGGAUUAUCCACGCGUGAUGAGGGCCUGGCUGAACCAGAGAAACAAUUUCCUCCUGCCUUAUUUCACUGACGAGGAAAAAAAGCUAAUCCGGGGUUCCUUUGACUUUUUGGCUUUAAGCCAUUACACCACCAUCCUUGUAGACUGGGAAAAAGAAGAUCCAGUAAAAUAUAAUGAUUACCUGGCAGUGCAAGAAAUGACCGACAUCACCUGGCUCAACUCCCCAAGUCAGGUGGCCGUGGUGCCCUGGGGGUUACGCAAGGUACUGAACUGGCUGAAGUCCAAGUACGGAGACCUCCCCAUGUAUAUAAUCUCCAACGGCAUCGACGAUGAUCCGCACGCAGCCGAAGACAAUCUGAGGGUGUAUUACAUGAAGAAUUAUGUAAACGAAGCUCUGAAAGAAUAUGAUCUGAGUGGUGAAGAAAGGGAUCUGAAAGCAGGAGUGAAGUUCGAGGCUGGAAGACGGUAGGGGCGGGGAGGGUGCCCCAAGCUAAUCCCUAUGUUUGAGCUGAGAGGGAAUUUCAGACACUGAAAGAGACAGGAGACGCCAAAGAACCAAAGAGAAAUGACACUUCAGCAUCAUUCAGCAAAGUUAUCAGAGACCAUUCCCUUGGAAGUCCUACAUCUCAAUACCUUUUGGGGCCAGCUCUGCAGCGGCAUUAAGUGGUGGCAAGGCAGUAAACUGCUGUCCUAUCCUCAUCUGUAGACUACUCACUAGGUUAGAGAAGAAAAACAUUUCAACCUACACAUUAAUGGAUUCAGAAAGGCUUAGGAAAAAGAGUCAGCAAGACCCAUGUUCAAAAAUUUGCUGAGCCUCAGUUUCCUCAUCUGUGAAACGGGAGUAACAUACUUCCACCUACCUGCUGAUGCCUGAAAUCCUUGUAACAGGAGAGAAAGCCUCUGAUGCCCGAUAAGGAGAUAAAAGACUUCAUUAUGCAAAUCUACAGUGGAGCAGCUCUGUCUGAAACAUUCAUAUGAAAAUGUCACCAAUCAGCUUUUCAUCAGGCGGGAUGACUGAUAACCACGGGAAUGGCAGAGGCUUCCGCCACCCUUGACGUGAGCACAGGGAUGGGAAGGCGAGGAAGCCCCAACAUAGGGCUGGCACCCGCUGUGCCCACAGGAGCAGCGUGGUGAUGUUUCCCAAGAUGACUCGGAUUUAGGGCAGCGAAUCCACGCGCGUGCCUGGUGUGAUGAUCUUCUGGGUCUUGGGGUGGAGCCAUGCGGCCAGGGCGUGAAGAUGUUCAGCAUUUGAUAAUUUCAGAAACAGUUGCAUCUAACUUCUUGGAAGACCAGCUAAUUCUCCAUUCUCUGUGCUACUGGAGAGUUGAAGUAGUCAGACACAAAAUAUUGCAAAACUUUAAUGAAGUCUAUCUUAAGAGCAUCAUAUGUAGCAACAGUAGAAUUCCCUGAAGCUGAAAUGGUCCAGGACUCUUGAAUGACCAUCAUCUCCCUUAAUCUGGUGUCCAGAGUUAAAUUCAGUGCAAUACAUUGGUAAGAAAAUGCCAAUUAACUGUGACCAAAUAGGCCACUGGUCAACUAGAAUGACAUUUAAGAACAUUAUGAAAUGUAAGUAUGAAAACGCAACAAAACACAGAGGCUCCCUUUGGCUGUGAAUCUGCAAAAGCCAUUAUAUUCAGCUCUCAUCAGCAGGGAAAUACAGGCUCUCUUUGAGUCACUGGGCUGACUCUAGUGGUCCAUGGGCAUCUAACAUGUCACUGAAACUGUAUCUGCUGGCCCCACGGCAAGCGGUAAUCUAGCCUUACAUUCGGGAACAACUCCUCACCCACUUCUUUGCUUUAAAGAGGACUAAAUAUUAUUUUCCUUGCUUUAUCCAACACCCCACUCUCAGUUUUUGAAUAACACAAACAAACAAGCUGACAACAUGUAAGGACCAUUUAAUGUGUUUUCCUUUGGUUGGCUAACCUUUGGUAAGACAUCAGGGCGGACUACAUAUUUUCACACUUUGGUGUCAUCAGCAGAUUCUGCUCAGCUUACAGGACGGUGGGGAGACAGCGCCCAGAACAACUUUGAAAGAACCAGGUGAGGAAGGGACUCACCGAAUCAGACUCGUUCCUUUUCAAAAUAAUAUGCAAUUAUAUAUAAAAUUGAUAUUUUACAUCAUAUAUACAGUAAAGAUAGAGAUAUACACACAUAUGUACAUAUGCUAUACAUACAUUUAUCUACAGUUAAGAAUACGCUUCUUAGAAGCCUUUAAAUAGCAAAUUAGGCAAUGCACAAGGAAUAAUCCAUUUAAUUUUAAGUAACAUAGAUAAAUGUUCUGAUUUUUAAAAAUAUUAUAUUAGUAGGGAUGUAGCCGUCUCCAGGAAGGCUAGGAAAGUUCUCAGAAAUUCUUGCAUCUUCAACAUUCCGACUUCUCAGUGCUUCCAUUUAUAAGCAUUGUCAAUCGGUUUCUCUCUCUCCCUUGCUUUCUCACGCGCACACUCUCUCCCACAAGUGUUUGCUUUCACUUCCUCUUCCCUGAGUUUGAUGUCACACUGGGGAAAACUCAGAUUUUAGUUUCUGGACCCUCAGCAAUGAGGGGCUGAAAAGAGUUUCUAAUCCUGGCGACUUCCGCUGCACACAGAUGUCCAAAGCCUUUAUUGUACCAUUCUGGGGAGUGACCUCUGCGGGGACAAAAAUCAGAAAGGAAGUGGGAAAGUCUUUUCCCAAAUCACGACAAUUUGUCACGGUCGACAGGGCUGUGCUUGUGCCCUGAAUGUCAGCCCACCUGCAUGACACUCGGGGCUGCUGCUCCGAGGCUCUGAGAACCUCAUUCUGUCAACAGGGGCCUUGAAAAUGCCUUUUUGGCCAAGUAUUCGGUCUAUCUUUCCAGUAUUCACCGGGUGCUUUAAAAUGACAGCGUCUCCUCAGGGGUGAUUCAGACUUAAUUCUAGAAUUUACUGAGAAAACCCAGCUUAUAUCCACCCAGACCAAGAACUCAGCAUCAUGAAUGCCUUGAAGGGGUUGGAUUUAAGUUAGUUCCCUCUCAAAGGAGGACAACUGGAGGGAGCUGCAAAAGGGACAGGCUGAGAAGAAACACAAGAGGACUCGUAUUUACUGAGCACCUACUACAUCCCGGGCUCUAGUGCUGGUGUUUGCCCCGUGCUCGAAGCACAGAAGUAUAAGUGGGACAAAACGGAAAAUAAAGGUGAGCAGAGGACUUUCUCCUGAAAGUCAGAAUUUUAGCAAGGGCGGAAAGAGGAAAAGCGAGGGGGAGGCACACGUAAUCUUCUAGAAAGCAUGUUAAUGGCAAGAGGAAUAAAAGGACAGUGAAAUAAGGGACCAGAUGAGAAACAGGGCCCCAGCGAAUGUGCGGUGAGCCCGCGCCCGCCGCCCCCAGGAGCCCGCUCACCUCAGGUCCACCCUGCAGAUGUGCGUCAGCCUCGACUUGCCGGACCCACACGGCUCCAUUAAGUACUGAGAGUCCAUCACCACGGCCCGCACACCACCCAUGAGCUGGGCUUCCUCGUGCUCCACGGAGAGGGACACCAGGGUGCACAUUCCUUUGGGCAAAUCAGUCUUCCAGGUCCUGCAGCAAAACAAACCCGCACGUCGGAAUUAGGGCUGAGAGAGAAAGAAAACCCUGAGCACAGCGCUGAGGUUUACACUUAUAUUUUCUUGCUCAAAUUCCAAGCCCAGUUACUUGGACUAAGCUAAUGGUUUCCAUAAGCGCAUGUGAACUUUAUACCGUGCAGUUGAAAGCAAGGGUCUCAGCCCUCUGACCCAGAGGUCAGAAACGGUCUUGCAGCUUUCAGAACUGCUUUCGGAAUCCCAAACUGAGGCUGCGGAGGCUCCCGCACAUUACUGAAGGGCUGGUCUCACCCGUUUGGGAAUUAGGACUCGCCCAUUCAAGUCUUUCACCAAAUAUCUAUUGGGUGUGCCAAGCUCUGAGAAGCCACUGAAGACAUAAAGGUCUACAGCCCAGGAGGAGAAACAGACCUACCAAGAGAACCCUAAAGCACCACGGCAAGUGCAGUGAUAUGGCUGUGCAAAGAGCGCUCUGAGAUCAUGUACAGGGGAUGGCUUCCUGGAGGAGGUGGUGCUCAACUCAAGUCUGAAAGGAUGCUUAGCUUGAAGAAAACUAGAUACAUGCAGACUGCUAAUUGCCUUCAAGUCCCUGAGUGGCUCUUGAGCAGGAGAAGAAAUAAAUACAGUUGAUUUGCCUCCAGAAAGCAGAGAUAUGAAGGUAUGUUUUAAUUUAGUGCAGACAAGAGCCGUCUCACAAUGUGUACUCUUCAAAAAUGGAAUGGGCUAUAUGAGGGGUAGUGAGUUCACUGUUCCUGGAGCUAUUCAAGCAUGGGGGGCGGUGUACCACUUGGGAAAAGGUUGUAGAUGGAAGUCAGGAAUCAUGAGAGCAUCUCUGUAGCAACCAUUUCUACCAUAGGAUGUAGGUUUGAUUAUUAUAAUCUUAGUUAUUUACAUUACAAGUCCUAUCCCCUUGCUUAGUUGUCUCAUCUCUAACUUCGUGCUGUCCUACCUCACCAGAAAGAGAAACUAUUACCUAGAACUAGGGAAUAAGCAAGCCCUACACAAAUGCUUAGCAACUUCUCCAUGGGUGUGACCAUUCUCUUUUCAUACAUAAGGCUGUGAUUAAUAACAAAGACUGAAAGCUGUACAGAUUUGUGGGGAUAGGAGACCAGCCUCAUGCGUGCUAGCCUAGACAAGGAGACGCUCUGAAAACAGGAAGUGCCUCAGCCCUGGACUCCUCUCCAUACCUGUCACUUUCUACCUCUUGUAUCAUAAUCACAAGGAAUUCCUGCUGCAGGAAACACAUCUGGUUCAUUAUUAAUCCUCUUGGGUGCCGAGUUCUCCCUCAGCCUCAUGGUCCACCCACCUUCUUCUUCAAGUCUUGGAUCAAAUAUCAACACAGUGAGACUCUGCUCUGACCACUAUAUUUGAAAUUCUACCCUUUCCUAUCAUCCCCCUAAGAUAAGUAAUCCUAUCCCCCUUGCUCAUUAUUUAUUGACUCUAUUCCUAUCCCCCUUGCUUAUUAUUUAUUGACUCUAUCUCCCUAAUAAAAUAUAAAGGGUUGUGGUCUGUUGUGCUCCCUGCAGUAUCCCCGGAGCCUCCAACAGUGCCUGGCACGAGGCAGUGAUGGAAUGAUACAUGAGAAACAGCAGGCGGUGGCACUGCAGGAUGAGUGGAACGAGGGCGGUUCCAUGCACGGACUCCGGCCCUCGGCCUCCCCUAAGGGAGUGAAGAGGCAGGCCAUGGCAUGGCUCCAACCCCCCGUGGCUGCCGUCCUAGAGCGAUUUGAUCUUCUGCUUGCGAGAGUGAAGGUGUAAAGUUUAACUUCCACGAGAUGAGUGAUGUCCCAAUCACUGUGCGUUUCCACCACCUUCCACUGCACGAAAUCCUCAUCCCACAGGUGGCGCUCCCUCAGCACGCGAUUCAAAACCACCGAGGGGGGCGCUUCCACCUCCACAGAAGCCUUCCAUAGCCUCAGCGGAUGCCCGUCUCCCACCUUGGGAAAGAUACCAGCACAGGCUGAAGAGGUUGCUGGUUCCAACACAACCUACCAUCCUUCACUGGGUGUUCAAAAAACAUCACUGAGUACGUAACUUGAAAGAGUGACUCUGCAUACCUCAGGUUUAGAAUUUUUAAAUGUUUAUCCUUAAGCUGAAAAGAAGAAUACUGAUAAUAAAAAUGAUAACCACCAACACACAGUGCUCCCUGUGUACCAGGCAUUGUUCUGAUUUUUAAACAGCCCUCCUCUGACAGUGGUCCUACUAUUAUGUCCAUUAUGCAAAUAAGAAAGCAGAGGCACAGAGAGGCGAGUGACUCGCCCAACGUCACACAGCUACGGGACAGAGCCAGGCCUGGGCUCCAGCAGUCCGGCUCCACAGUCUGCAGUCUGAUUAUGUGCAAACAGACUCUAGAGUGGGUGGUUGACUGAUUCGUGUGUGGUGAAGCCCUGGGAACAGAGUAGCCAUUUUAAAAGCAAAACAAAUCCCUGGUUGUAAGACUUGGCUCUUAGGGGGUAAUUUUUUCCAAGACCUGAGAUUACCUUUUUGAAAGCAAGAUCUGUGUUGUCUGUGUUGGAACACGUGACCCAUCCUUUGAACUUUUCCUUGGUUUCCUUCUGGAGGCCCUGGAUGAGAUGCUCCAGGUACGUGUGGAAAGUGGCCCCGCUCUCCUCCAUCUGGGCCCCCAGGUCUUCCAGAGUUGGGGGAUGCACCUCAGCCUCCAUAUAUGAGUUAUGAGACUGGGCCACCAUCUCAAGCGGGACCUGAACCGAUGGACGCACAGAAGAGCAACACACUGAGCUACAGAAGUGCUGAGACUGACAGAGAAAGCAAAGUAGCAUCGCCAAAGACCACGGUACGGGCGAUGGGCUGAGUGCCGUGGGGCAAGAGAUGUUUGUCUAAGAUCAGCGAAGGGGUCGGGGGCGGGCUUCCUCAAGUCAGGAAACCCAAAUCUGGUUGAGGCUAUAUUUAUUAUUCAAAACACUGCCAUGACUUCCCAUUCAUUCUUUCCAUUUUCCUUUGAUUUUACUUAUUAUAUACAUUUUUAUUCAGUUUGGCAAAACUUGGGCUCAGGAAACUUAAAGUGCACAGACUUAAGGGGAACGUCAAGCAUGGCUUAGAGGCAGCUUUAACUUUGUGGCACACUUUUCCCUUUUACAAAUGACAACUUUGCCCCAACAAGUAUGCCGGAAGUCUAGUUCACUUAAUCCUUUAGCGUAUCUGUAGCUGUAUUCAUAAGCUGUCACUGAUUCUGAGUUCACAGCGAUUGUUCAGUAUCACACAUUCACACACACACACACACACACACUGAAUCUAAUCAAGUCUCGAGGUUACAUCAAAUAUACUGUACUUGGCUGGCUGGCCUGGGACCUGGCACCUGAAGUUGAUGCAACUGUUUUCAUAAAAACCAUCAUCAUGGUAAACCCAGGUGUCUUUAGCCGUCAAAGCCUCAACUAUUCAAUAUAUAAGCUCACUCCUCACAUUUCUAGGAGGCAAAGACCAGACCUAUCGAGUGCACCAUUGUCAUUAUAAAAUCAGGAAAAACCAGAAAUAAGCCAUAAAUGCAGCAACCACUCCAAGCGUCUUAGCGAGUUCCAAGAGCUAUAAGGAAGGCAGUUGGAGCCUUUCACUCACCUCAAAAAGCCUGUCGCAUUCCAUGAUCAUGUGGGCCAGCCCCUGAGCUGCGGCCAGAUUCUCACUGAGGUCUUUUUGAUCUGGCUUCCCGGAGGCAUAUUUCUUCUGGCUAACUCUGUAAUUGAAGGGGAGAGUCCUCAGCGGAUCCCAAACCCAAGAGCUUUUCACAGUACAGAGCUCAUCGCUUUGUCAUGUCUUCAUGCCCAGAUGCCACCCAGAUCCCAUACUUUCUCAUUUCCAAAUAAAAACAGUGACUACACAUCUUAGAUAUCCUGAGUCAUGCUAAGAGUCUGACAGUUCAUAAUGGAAAACCUUGGAAAAAUACACGGGCAGGAAUAACUGUUGGGGGAGAAAUUAAUCUAUUUUUCCCAAGUUUGAAACUACUUCACUGCAAGCUGCCGUGCUUGGGCCUUAAAUCUAGCCUUUUAAAAUUGAAGAUUGUAAAAUACUACUUUGUGUACUUUUUCCCUCCUUCCCACUAACACACACAAAACAAAACAAAACAAAACUCCAGGCUUUCGGGAUCACAAAGGACACUGUGCUGCUUUGAUAAUUCCCUGAUGCUGAGCCACACAAAUUAUGUUCCUCCAAACAUUUUCUGAUUAUGAAUGAAGUGCUGACAAAUCCCCAACUUGAAAUACAGCGGGAGUGUUUUUAAGUAGCCAUGGGGAAUACCUGGUUUAGGAUUAGGGUUCUUGCUGAGGAAAACCCACCUGGGGGAGCUUUCCUUCUUCAGUAAAUUCAGAUGGAAGAGGGAGGGGGCCAGACACACAGCCAGGUUCAUGGGCGUCAUCUGAUUCUCCUCCACCGCGUGGACCACGUCGUUGAGGAAGCACAGCAGCGUCUGCAGCACCUCCCUGCUCUCAUCGGCCAGCAGCAGGACGGCCGCCUGCACUGCCUGCAACUGCUGCUCUUUGGGGACGUCUGCAGAAAACGCGGUGCCGGGAGUUAGAGGGACAGCCGCAGAAGGAGCCAGCGGGAGAGGGGGAGCGAGCGCUCCCUUCCUGCGAGCACGCUCAGGGUCACUGUCGGCAUCAACAGUGACAUGACAACGGCUAAGGGCGCGGAGCUGCCCCAGGUGGUGAGAAGCUUGACGAGCUGCCGUUGGAAGGAACCCCCCAGUCUCACUCCAGAACCCAUAGUCUUAACAGCGAGGCUGGACUUGGCAAGGAACACCCUGCGCUGGCUUUUCAUACUCUUGGAGCAAUCUGCCUCCUCACCUACCUGUCUCAAACCUCUUGCCCAUCCUCCCUCCCACCCCACCUCCAGCUUGUGAAGCAUCCCUCAGGACGCCCAGGGCUUGGGGAAGAGGGACCAGGCUCCUCCCUCUCGGGCCCAUCCCCCAUCUGGGUGGUCCCUGGGGUGGUGGGCGCUGGUCCGCAGGCUUGAAAGGGAGUUGGCCUGAACAGUAUGAGGUAACUAAAAGGAAAAAGUACAGGAAAAUGGGUGCUCCGUGCUGCAUUCUGCUGCCCCCUGGCUGUGUUUGUUAAUGAUCUUUGAGGCCUGACUCACCACCCUCAUUCCUCUCACUCUGAAAGACACCGUCAGGAGCUCACAUGGGCUAACACGGUUGUCUUUCUUACAAUACCAGGUUCUAGAGCAGGUCUCUGCAGCAGGUGUCUGUGCUCCAAAGGGGGUGUGGGAAAAAACUAUUGGAACUUCCAAUGGUGUUUGUUUUCUCUCAUGCUUUAAAAAUACUGAUGGGAUGUGUCUUAUGAUAUGCACAGUAUAUUAUAAUAUAUCACAAUAUAUUUAUA